rnacentral:misc_RNA from 1 species
UUUCCGUAGGUGAACCUGCGGAAGGAUCAUUAUUGUAUAACCGAGGUGCGAGGGCUGUCGCUGACCCGAAAGGUCGUGCACGCCCGAGUGCCCUCACACACAUCCAUCUCACCCCUAUGUGCACCACCGCGUGGGACCCCUUUGGCUUGUUCGGAGGGGGGCUUACGUUUUCACACAAACUUUGUAUGCAGUGUAGAAUGUAUUUUUUGUUUUUGCGAUCACGCAAUCAAUACAACUUUCAACAACGGAUCUCUUGGCUCUC